rnacentral:lncRNA from 13 species
CCUUCGCUCAUCGUAACACUUGGAGACUCAUUGGGGCUCCAAGUUGAUAGUACAGGGGACAGACUCUUUUCACGCAACUUUGAAACGAAGUGAUUUUCGUAGCAGGUUAGGAGAGCCUUUUUGCUAACCUUAACCCUUUUUCUAACCUUAAACCGCAGUCUCCUAACCUGCUACAUGAAAUCUCCCAACCUGCUAAGUUCCCCUAACCUGCAGCGAAGAAUUCACUUCCUGAUCGAGGUGGUGAAAAGAGUGUUUCUCCACAGUACAAAGUGUGAGUGUGCAGUGCACUUCCGCCAAGGAUCCUGGGGAGAGGAGAGGUUCCUGGUUCCCCGUGCCUGUCCCAAAAUGUCCUCUUCCUCUUAAGCUGACAGCACAGUAUGACAGUGUGCUGAGCACUGCCCAGCGUUGUAGUCAAGUCCCUAACCUGGACUUGGGUGCUACAACACUGGCACUGCUCCCAAGUGUCCUGGGAGAGAACAGGGUGCUGGGGCCCAGUGUUUGUCCCAAAAUGCCCACCUCCUCUUGGUUCGAUGUCUCAAUGCCAUUCUGCUGUGGAUCUCCUUCCUGUAGCUUGUCCUCUGGAGAGACAGAAGGUAUUGAUGCCGAUGGCUCUGAGAGCAUAUUAAAUGUUGUUAUCAAUAUAGUAUAACGGUGUCACAUUUAUUGCAGCCUCGCGUAAACCGAUUCAAUAGGCUAUUAAUCUGCUGUGCUACGCAGUAAUGGUGGACGGUAACUAGUGAGAAGAGGGACCAUUAGUUAUUAGGGUGCUUAUGGACUGAAGAGAGCAAAGUGUAGAAGGGAAGGAAGAGCGAGAGAGAGGGAGGGAGGGAGGGAGGGAGGGAGGGAGAGAGGGAGAGAGGGAGGGAGAGAGCUCCUCAAAUGAUCACAGUGAAUAACUACCAACGGAACAGGCCUGUAGAGUAGUCCUUGGGUAAAUCGUGGAAGACAUUAGCAGAUGAAUAUCCUCAAGUUGAAACACAACUGUAAUUGUUACAGCCCUGAGAUGGAAGAAGGCCAUGGUGCUUGGUCUGUAUGUCAUGCCUUAUCAAUAUUUCCUAUUCAGAAAGAAAUUGUUGUGUGACGUGUCGACCAAUCAUUUCCAUUCCCUUCACGUUCUGAGUAGUAGAGGACCACCAGCGUCAAAGGAAAUAAACCUCAAGCACAUCCAUUUAAUCAGAGGAGAAUUUCAUUUCUGCUUUUCACAUAUGAGUUGAGGCCUCCGUAUAAAUUGGAUGAAAUGCACAAUAUCACCAGACUGGCCAGGCUGGCUGCUUACCAAGUACCAGUUACCUUUUCGGUCAUAUUGAUUAUUUUCUCCCUUCUCUGUAUUGGUGGAGGAACUCUUGACAACAAUCUCAGACAGACAUGAAACCAAUGGAAAAAAACAAGGAAAAAAUAUUCAGUUUAGAAAGUUUCCCCAGAAGCCAUUUUAUUUAUGGAUUCUUACUCAGAGACCAAAUCUGUGUUGACCACUGGAAUACACACACACACACACACACACACGUCUUGCCCACGGCUUGCAUGGGGACGAAUGAGAGUUGAGGUCAAUAUUAUUUGGAGAGAAUGGUGAGAAACCUGGGACUCAGACUCCAUGCUCCUUUGGGCUCUGGAAGGUCGCCAGGCCUCACAUUCCAGAUCUCCAGGAUUCACUGGGAGCCCAGCUGUUUUUAGGUGUGCAGCCCUGCAUACCUCCACCUCCACCGCUGCAAAUAGAGUUUAAAGGAGCAACAUCAAUUCAGUAACCCACACCUGACGGGUUAAUACAACACCCACUCUCCCCUCCCCAAU